GAUGAAGAACGUAGCGAAAUGCGAUAAGUAAUGUGAAUUGCAGAAUUCAGUGAAUCAUCGAAUCUUUGAAUGCACCUUGCGCCCUUUGGCUAUUCUGAAGGGCAUGCCUGUUUGAGUAUCGUGAACACCUCAACUCUCAUGGUCUGCCAUGAUGAGCUUGGACUUUGGGGGUCUUGCUGGCCUACUGUCAGCUCCUCUCAAAUGAAUCAGCUUACCAGUGUUUGGUGGCACCACAGGUGUGAUAACUAUCUACGCUUGUGGUUUUCUGCCAGGUAACCUCCAGUGAUGGAGGUUCGCUGGAGCUCACAAAUGUCUCUCCUCAGCGAGGACAGCUUUUUGAACGUUUGAUCUCAAAUCAGGUAGGACUACCCGCUGAACUUAAGCAUAUCAAUAAGCGGAGGA
rnacentral:misc_RNA from 1 species